UCCCAACCCCUGUGACAUACCUUAAUGUUGCCUCGGCGGAUCAGCCCGCGCCCGGUAAAACGGGACGGCCCGCCAGAGGAUCCAAACUCUUGCUGUUAUUGUAACUUCUGAGUAAAACAAACAAAUAAAUCAAAACUUUCAACAACGGAUCUCUUGGUUCUGGCAUCGAUGAAGAACGCAGCAAAAUGCGAUAAGUAAUGUGAAUUGCAGAAUUCAGUGAAUCAUCGAAUCUUUGAACGCACAUUGCGCCCGCCAGUAUUCUGGCGGGCAUGCCUGUUCGAGCGUCAUUUCAACCCUCAAGCCCCCGGGUUUGGUGUUGGGGAUCGGCAAGCCUUCUGGCGAGCCGCCCCCUAAAUCUAGUGGCGGUCUCACUGCAGCCUCCAUUGCGUAGUAGCUAACACCUCGCAACUGGAACGCGGUGCGGCCAUGCCGUUAAACCCCCAACUUCUGAAUGUUGACCUCGGAUCAGGUAGGAAUACCCGCUGAACUUAAGCAUAUCAAUAAGCGGAGGAA
rnacentral:rRNA from 1 species